GACAGAGGAUGCAAGCGUUAUCCGGAAUGAUUGGGCGUAAAGCGUCUGUAGGUGGCUUUUAAGUCCGCCGUCAAAUCCCAGGGCUCAACCCUGGACAGGCGGUGGAAACUACCAAGCUGGAGUACGGUAGGGCAGAGGGAAUUCCGGUGGAGCGGUGAAAUGCGUAGAGAUCGGAAAGAACACCAACGGCGAAAGCAACUCUGCUGGGCCGACACUGACACUGAGAGACGAAAGCUAGGGGAGCGAAUGGG
rnacentral:rRNA from 1 species